rnacentral:rRNA from 1 species
UGGGGAAUAUUGGACAAUGGGCGCAAGCCUGAUCCAGCCAUGCCGCGUGAGUGAUGAAGGCCCUAGGGUUGUAAAGCUCUUUCACCGGUGAAGAUAAUGACGGUAACCGGAGAAGAAGCCCCGGCUAACUUCGUGCCAGCAGCCGCGGUAAUACGAAGGGGGCUAGCGUUGUUCGGAUUUACUGGGCGUAAAGCGCACGUAGGCGGACUUUUAAGUCAGGGGUGAAAUCCCGGGGCUCAACCCCGGAACUGCCUUUGAUACUGGAAGUCUUGAGUAGGGUAGAGGUGAGUGGAAUUCCGAGUGUAGAGGUGAAAUUCGUAGAUAUUCGGAGGAACACCAGUGGCGACGGCGGCUCACUGGACCAUUACUGACGCUGAGGUGCGAAAGCGUGGGGAGCAAACAGG